rnacentral:rRNA from 1 species
GACGAACCGUGCGAACGUUAUUCGGAAUCACUGGGCUUAAAGCGCGUGUAGGCGGGCCGGCACGUCCGAGGCUGAAAUCCCCCGGCUCAACCGGGGAAGGGGCCCGGAUACGACCGGCCUGGAGGGGGGUAGGGGGCGCCGGAACUUCCGGUGGAGCGGUGAAAUGCGUUGAGAUCGGAAGGAACGCCCGUGGCGAAAGAGGGCGCCUGGACCCCACCUGACGCUGAGACGCGAAAGCCAGGGGAGCGAACGGG